CUUUUCAGACCAUUUCGUUUUCCCUCUUCCUCUCUCUUUCACGGUUUCUCUAACCUGUUUCUCUUUCUCUCUCUUUUCCAAGUUCUUUCAUAUUCUCUCAACCCCUUUCCUUUUUCCUUUCGAACCCUAGCGGGUUUAUCACUAUCAUCGGUGCUUCCUGACACUGCACGACUAUCUACACCACAAAUCGCAUCCUUUCCCUUUUGAAUCGAUUUGCAUUCGUUUUCAUUUUGGUUUUCUUUUGCGUUUUAGUCAUCGCUUUCGUUUUCGUUAUCUGAAUCCGGUUUAGGGUCUGGAAAAAGUGUUUAUUUCAUUUAUGAUUCUAGCGGCGUCCGUAACAGAAUGGAUCUCUGGUUUAUGAAAUUUGUUCGUGAUUUAAACUUUGUAUUUUGAAGGAAGAUCUAUAAAUUUGGUAGUCACUAACUUGCAGAUCUACGAUUGUCUGACCCCACUCCACCGUUUCUGCUCUCCUUUCAUCACUUUUGUUUUCAAGCCCUAUAGAGUACAUGAUGUGUUGCGCCCACUCUAUGAAUCAUCCAAGCUAUUAGCUUAGAGAACAACUAUGGCAGGAAGAAGAAUACACUUGUGCUGCUAGAUAUAUGACUAUUUUUAUAAUUUUUCUGAUACAUUUUAUUGUAUACUAUGUUUGGUUUUUCUCCAAAAAAAUUAUUUGACUAUAUCACUCAUACUUUUCAUUUUUUUUGUGUAACAGGCUUAAAAUUCCUUCCAAUUGUCAUAGGUAAUUUCAAACGAUUUUGAUGUUUGUGGCUUCUACUGGAGCUUGUGUGUUUUGAAUCUAUGUGUUUUGAUGUUCUGAGUCCAUGGUUCAACAACAAGCACUAUUUUAUUUGUGUCCUGCAGGUUUAUGUAGCUACAAAUAGGAUUUCUCCUUUUAUCACCCUUUUCAGGCUUUUUGAAGAAUCUACAAAUAAAGUUAGAGUGAAAAUACUUAGUUUUCAACUCUAUUAUUAGAACUGAUGCCCUCUAUUAUUAGAACUGAUGCCCUUAGUUUUCAGGCUAUUUGUAGAUUCAAAUUAUUGAUUAUGUGAAGAUUUUGAAUUGUUUCAAUUUCGGUGUUGUGGUUCUAUUUGAGCUUCACGGUUAUAUGUUUGGGGUUCGCGAAGGUUUUCUGUUGCAGAGUUUGGAUUCUAGCAGAGCUUUUCACGGUUCAGAUUUAGCAUUCGAGUCAAAUUUUCGGUACAGAUCCAAAACUUUCAAGCUUGUUGAAGAUGUUAAGAUGGGCCCAAAACCAGCUGGCCGAGAAAGCUUCUUUUCCUCGCAUAAAUGAUAUAACCACAGCUUAGAAGACCCUGUUCAAAAACUUGUGACACUUUAAUUUGAAUUUGAAGAUUUUAGGUUCUACAUGAAGUGAUUGUUGCCAUUGUUGUUA